rnacentral:rRNA from 1 species
CACGUAGGCACCAAGCGUUGUCCGGAUUUAUUGGGCGUAAAGAGCUCGUAGGCGGUUCAGUAAGUCGGGUGUGAAAACUCUGGGCUCAACCCAGAGACGCCACCCGAUACUGCUGUGACUUGAGUACGGUAGGGGAGUGGGGAAUUCCUGGUGUAGCGGUGAAAUGCGCAGAUAUCAGGAGGAACACCAGUGGCGAAGGCGGCAUCCUGGACCGGCAUUGACGCUGAGGAGCGAAAGCUAGGGGAGCAAACGGG